UGGGAGAGGUAGUUGGAGAAUCAAGAGGGAAGUAAAGGAAUUAUGAUGGAGGGAUUAUCCUAGAUAACCAGAAAGCAGAAGCCGGACACUGUCUGAGGAUGGUGUGCCUCCUACGAAUCCCUGGGGGUAGGGAACAGGCGCGCUGGCGCACGAGGGUCUGACAGUCCACUGUUAUCUCCACGGUGAGGGCCCGCCAUCCUUUCACUGCCCUACCUGGUGGGAAGAACUGAGGCUGGGCCAGAGGGGCUUCUCCCGGCCAUGUAGGGCUGACCUGGGUGGUGCUCUGUUCCCCUGAGGCCACUGCGCCCACAUCACAUCAAUCAACUACUUCCUCCUGGCUCCUGACUCACAACUCCAGAUCAAACUUAACAGGAGGUGCUAGGAAGACCUAAGCCCCAAAUCCUCUCUCGAAAGCUUUUACUUCCCAGGCCUGGAAAAAGCCCCUGCUGAUUGCUAGCUGGAAACCAAAGGAGUUCAGCUUUGGGCUAGCUUGUGGGUGAGACCCAGACAGCCGAGGGGAGGUUGGCAGCUGUUUAAAAUUGCAAAUCUCCUCCCCACCUCCCCCUCCUCCUCUACAGGAAAGAAUUUCAAUUGCAAAUUUGUCUCUGCCUCAGUGCACCCCCUCCCUACUCACUGCCCCCACUCCACGCUUCUCCCCUCCUAUUUAUUACAAACCUUUAACCACAGCAAUUAGUUUUUCACCUCCCCCCCCCCUCAUUCUUUUCUUCCUUCCUUCUCUGGGUCGGUGUCCCUCUCCUUGCCCUUCCUAUCUGGAACUGUUUGCAGCUCUUGCUGGAGAUGAUGCAGAACCAGAUGACAGACCAAAAAGUCACCCUCCACCUACCAUCCCGAGGCUAAGAGUCCUGUUCACCCUGAUGCGACUGCCAUUCCUCCUGGCCGCGUGCCUCGUUACUGCUCAGGAUGAGAAGGGAAGGCUGAAGUGCUACUUUCAAAGCUCAGCCAGGGAGGAGUUGCCCCACAAACGUCAUCACUGAACGGCAAAUAUUCUUCCACGGGAGGGGGGCAGAAAGACUCCGUAAAUAGCCGGCCAAGAACUCCUUCCGGAUGUGCGCUCUCGUUUGGGUGAGGGGAGCAAACACACCGACAGUACUUAGAGCAGGAAGAGGCCAGGGAGCCAGGAGGCUCCAAGACAAGACAGCGGGACCGAGAGCCACCGAGAAAGAUGUUCUGGGAUGGACCAAAGGGCUUGGAUGUGAAGUUAUGCACAUCGGGAAAGGUGGGCUCUGAGACCCCGCAAGACCGAGAACACAGUGAGACCUGGGACCAGAGAAGUACAGGAGCCAAAGGAGCAAGGGCAAAGAAAGGACCAGAGGAAAGAGGCCCGAGGGAGGAGAGACUCUGCCCCUCACCGGGUAGGAAUUAGGGCAUGGGUUCAGGUUGGCCUGUGGGAGCCCGGGCAGACCAGGACCACUCUUGGGCAGCGCCCCCUCCCGGCCCCAGCCCGCGGCGAGAGGAGAAACACUACUGCUCCCUAGUGGUCACAGGAGGAACACCAUCGAGGAGAAGAAAGGCCGGGCGCGGGUAGGGGUGGGAUGACAGGCCGCCUUUCUCUUCCCGGGCUCCCUUCCUCGUACCAAAAAGCAAAACCCCACUCCCUUCUUUUCUCCAAACCUAAGGACGAGGCAAAGACUUUCCCAGGAAAGUCGGCCAGAGGGCAUCAGCACAAUCGCCUAAAACUUAACAUGCAAUGAUUUCCACAUCAGAGCCCUCCAAACACUGUUGCCCUAAACUUUUCCAAAUGUUGUAUCUAACCUCUUUCCCUUAUUAAAGUCAAAUUUUAGGGUCUUUCCUCUCCCUGAAACUCCUGCUUACAACACUGCUGCUCUCUUCCACACUCUGCCCUGGCCUCUCUCCCCUUUUUGUCUCAACCUGUUGCCUUCAAGAGGCCAUGGAAGAGAGGGUCUUGAAGAGGAAAAGGAAAGAUGGAGCAGUGGAAGAACAUGGGCUUUGGGUUCAUGCAGACCCAGGUUCGGUGCUGGUUCCCCCACUCCCCAGCUGUGCAACCUCAGUAAGUUACCUGCCGGUUUCCUCAUCUGGAAAAAUGGGGAGAAUGAUCCCUUCCUUCCUGUGGCCAGGGAUGGUCAGCCAGGUUAGUUCUUUCCCUGAUCUCUUGGCUAGCUCCACCCAGAACGGAGCAAGGUAUUUGCAGAAUAUGAACCCUUCUUGAUCAGGGUUCAUCCUAAUUUCUGCCUUUUCAAAAAUUGAGGGCAGAGUCUUUUGUGGACAGGAUUUAAAACUAAGUCUGCCCAGCAGCAGAGUUCAUUUCUCACUCAGCCCUCUGGAUUGCUAGGCCUAGAGACACCCCACCAUCCCAGAGCAGAGAAUGGAAGACUUGCCUAGGCCCCCACAUGGCCUGGCUACAGAAGCAGCUAAUGCUUGGAUCAAAACGAUAUGGCCUCUCCCUGCAUUUAAAAGUAUCGUUUUCUCGUUCUCUAAGUCUUAACCUUCUUGUUUAAAAAGAAAACAAGGUACAUCUGGGUGGCUUAGUGGUUGAGCGUCUACCUUCAGCACAGGGCAUGAUCCUGGGUCCGGGGAUCAAGUCCUGCAUCAGGCUCCCUGUGAGG